GAUAAAAAUUGAAGGGCCGCAGUAUUCUAACUGUGCAAAGGUAGCAUAAUAAUUAGUCUUUUAAUUGAAGGCUUGUAUGAAUGAUUGGACGAGAUAUAAGCUGUCUCAAAUGAAUUGAUAGAAUUUUAUUUUUCAGUUAAAAAGCUGAGAUUUUUUUAAAAGACGAGAAGACCCUAUAGAUCUUUAUAUUAUUAACAUUAUAUUUUUAUUGGAUUUAUUGUGAAUGUAUUGGUACUAAUAUUUUAUUGGGGUGAUAUUGAAAUUUAUUAAACUUUCAAUUAUUUUAUAAACAUUAAUUUAUGAUUUAUUGAUCCAUUAUUAUUGAUUAAAAAUUUAAGUUACCUUAGGGAUAACAGCGUAAUUAUUUUGGAGAGUUCAAAUCGAUAAAAUAGAUUGCGACCUCGAUGUUGGAUUAAGAUUAAUUCUGGGCGCAGCCGUUCAGAAUAUUAAGUCUGUUCGACUUUUAAUUUCUUACAUGAUCUGAG
rnacentral:rRNA from 1 species